rnacentral:tRNA from 2 species
AGCGAUUUAGUGUAAAGGUUGCACACUAGGCUCAUGACCUUUUAGAAGUUGUUCGAUUCAACUUAUCGCAC